UUAAGUUCAGCGGGUAGUCCUACUCGAUUUGAGGUCAAGUUGUCAGAGAUUGUCCAAAGACAGUUUAAGAGGCACAGAGCUCCCAAUUAGCCACCCUCUUUCAAGGCGCCGGCGAAGACACUUAUCACGCCGUACUAUGUCCAAUCAGGAGUUGCACUAAUGCAUUUCAGGAGAGCCGACGGCCUUCGCCGCCAGCAACC
rnacentral:misc_RNA from 1 species